rnacentral:rRNA from 1 species
AUGAUAGCGUUCCUCCUAUUCCUCUUACUCGCUCUCGCCGCCAGCAACACCGAGCACGGAGGUGCAGUUGCUGCCGCCGACGACCCACCUGCCGCCCUUACCAUCCUGACACUGCACGGUAGCCACGAAAACACCUCCCUGGCCGUGCAGACCCACGACCUCUCCCUCGCCGGCUUCACCGACGAGAGCCUCCACUGGCACGCCUUCCCAGGCCACGAGCAUCUGAUCCCCACGUCCAAGCCCCUGCCGUUCGGCAGCAGCUACAGCGAGCUCAUCGGCGGCCUCGCCAACCUGCCGGGCCUGCCGCUAGGGCGGGACGCCAUGAUGCACGCCGUCCGUGUGCUCUCCGCCUACGACCCGGCCGCCGACGCAGAGCCAGUCAAGUGGGCUCUGGCGGCCGUGAAGGUGAUGAUCUGCGAGUCCGGGCGGCUGAAGCCCAUCAGAGAGACCGUGAGAAGCGGAUGGGACAGCGAGUCCCGCGUCGCCCCCGAGCAUCUGCCCUACAUCGAGCACUGGGACACCAUGUCCUAUGAGAUCAUCCGCGCCAACCGCACGGGCAAAUGGGAAGACGGGCCCUUCACCAAGAUGCUGGAGACCCAGGCCAACAUCCGCAGCAAGGAGGAGGCGGUGGCGGUGAUGAACAUGCUCAUGGAUGCGGACUUCGAGCAAGUGCUCAAGGCUCACGCCAUCCCGAUCAAUUUAGAGUAA